ACCUUUAAGGAUGGCCAACUAAUAGAACGAUUCCCAUGGACCUUGAGCUUUGUGUUAAUGUACUUAGAAAACAUUAAAUAUUCGUUAAAAGCAGAUUGAAAUUCAAGAACAAGUCAAGUAAUGAAACACUCAAGAAACUGUUGUAUGUACACUCCUUGUACAGACGAAUGCAGUGAAAUGGAAUGACUUGCAUAUCUUUGAUCUCAAACAGAAGAAGAGAUAAUGAUUGUACAGAAAUGACGUUUUGCUACUGUAUAGUAUAUUUUAUAGCCAAACUGGAAAUGAGAUUUAGCUCAAUUGACGCGAAACAAUCUAAAUGAACACCGUUAUGAUCGGCAAAAGACCAGAUGGAACAUCUUGAUAACACUUCCCAUUUGUGAUCGUAAUCUUUAUGUGCAACAUUGUAGUUUUUGUAACACGUCCGGGCUGAGGUUAAAUUAAUUCGGUGAUUAUAAUUAUGUUUCUUAGCAAGACUUUGACAUUUGAAAAUAUUAAAGACUAUAAGUUGAAAAUGAUUUCCUGAGAAUGGCAUUUGAUCUACAUAAAAUGGAAAUCUUCAAAAGAAAGCAAUGCAUUUUUUAUUUAACAAAUGUUCAUUUUCAUCACAACUA